rnacentral:lncRNA from 1 species
UUAAAUAUUUAACUUUAUUUAAAAUUUAAAUUAAUUUAAGUAUUUUUAACUUUUAAAAAAAAAAAUGAACGUCACCUAAAUGUCACCCUCGUCCAAGUAUGCUCAAGCUUCUUUCGAUAAAUUUGAAUUAUUUAACAAUACUAUCUACUUUUAUUUCCUUUCAUAACAGCUAGUCACAGCACGCCAACCUCAAAAGAAGCAUUAAGAUCUUCACAUGUGUAAUGCAGCAUGUUAAUCUACCCAAUUUCAUUUGCAAGUUGCAAUUUACAGGACAAGGACCUUGAUGUGGAUUGAUGGAAAAAAAUUAUGGAAAUUUUCAA